AAUGGGCGCAAGCCUGAUCCAGCAAUGCCGCGUGCAGGAUGAAGGCCUUCGGGUUGUAAACUGCUUUUGUACGGAACGAAAAGACUCUGGUUAAUACCUGGGGUCCAUGACGGUACCGUAAGAAUAAGCACCGGCUAACUACGUGCCAGCAGCCGCGGUAAUACGUAGGGUGCGAGCGUUAAUCGGAAUUACUGGGCGUAAAGCGUGCGCAGGCGGUUAUGUAAGACAGAUGUGAAAUCCCCGGGCUCAACCUGGGAACUGCCUUUGUGACUGCAAGGCUAGAGUACGGCAGAGGGGGAUGGAAUUCCGCGUGUAGCAGUGAAAUGCGUAGAUAUGCGGAGGAACACCGAUGGCGAAGGCAAUCCCCUGGGCCUGUACUGACGCUCAUGCACGAAAGCGUGGGGAGCAAACAGGAUUAGAUACCCUGGUAGUCCACGCCCUAAACGAUGUCAACUGGUUGUUGGGUCUUCACUGACUCAGUAACGAAGCUAACGCGUGAAGUUGACCGCCUGGGGAGUACGGCCGCAA
rnacentral:rRNA from 1 species